rnacentral:rRNA from 1 species
GUACGUACAAGCAGUGGGAGCCCUUUUUGGGUGACUGCGUACCUUUUGUAUAAUGGGUCAGCGACUUAUAUUUUGUAGCGAGGUUAACCGAAUAGGGGAGCCGAAGGGAAACCGAGUCUUAACUGGGCGAAUAGUUGCAAGGUAUAGACCCGAAACCCGGUGAUCUAGCCAUGGGCAGGUUGAAGGUUGGGUAACACUAACUGGAGGACCGAACCGACUAAUGUUGAAAAAUUAGCGGAUGACUUGUGGCUGGGGGUGAAAGGCCAAUCAAACCCGGAGAUAGCUGGUUCUCCCCGAAAUCUAUUUAGGUAGAGCCUUGAGCGGACACCUUCGGGGGUAGAGCACUGUUUCGGCUAGGGGUCCAUCCCGGAUUACCAACCCGAUGCAAACUACGAAUACCGAAGAGUGAUACUCAGGAGACACACGGCGGGUGCUAACGUCCGUCGUGGAGAGGGAAACAACCCAGACCGCCAGCUAAGGUCCCAAAGUCUAUAUUAAGUGGGAAACGAAGUGGGAAGGCUUAGACAGCUAGGAUGUUGGCUUAGAAGCAGCCAUCAUUUAAAGAAAGCGUAAUAGCUCACUAGUCGAGUCGGCCUGCGCGGAAGAUGUAACGGGGCUCAAAUAUAGCACCGAAGCUGCGGCAUCAGACGAAAGUCUGUUGGGUAGGGGAGCGUUCUGUAAGCGGAUGAAGGUGAAUCGAGAGGUUUGCUGGACGUAUCAGAAGUGCGAAUGCUGACAUAAGUAACGAUAAAACGGGUGAAAAACCCGUUCGCCGGAAGACCAAGGGUUCCUGUCCAACGUUAAUCGGGGCAGGGUGAGUCGGCCCCUAAGGCGAGGCUGAAAAGCGUAGUCGAUGGGAAACGGGUUAAUAUUCCCGUACUUGGAUAAACUGCGAUGUGGGGACGGAGCAGGUUAGGUUAUCGCACUGUUGGAUAUGUGCGUUUAAGUUUGUAGGUGGGAAGUUUAGGCAAAUCCGGACUUCUAUUCAACACUGAGAGAUGAUGACGAGGCUCUACGGAGCUGAAGUAACCGAUACCACACUUCCAGGAAAAGCCACUAAGCUUCAGGUUUAUCUAAACCGUACUGAAAACCGACACAGGUGGUCAGGUAGAGAAUACUCAGGCGCUUGAGAGAACUCGGGUGAAGGAACUAGGCAAAAUAGCACCGUAACUUCGGGAGAAGGUGCGCCGGCGUAGAUUGUAGUCCCUUGCGGAUGAAGGUUGAACCGGUCGAAGAUACCAGCUGGCUGCAACUGUUUAUUAAAAACACAGCACUCUGCAAACACGAAAGUGGACGUAUAGGGUGUGAUGCCUGCCCGGUGCUGGAAGGUUAAUUGAUGGUGUAAUCGAAAGAGAAGCUCCUGAUCGAAGCCCCAGUAAACGGCGGCCGUAACUAUAACGGUCCUAAGGUAGCGAAAUUCCUUGUCGGGUAAGUUCCGACCUGCACGAAUGGCAUAAUGAUGGCCAGGCUGUCUCCACCCGAGACUCAGUGAAAUUGAAAUCGCCGUGAAGAUGCGGUGUACCCGCGGCUAGACGGAAAGACCCCGUGAACCUUUACUAUAGCUUGACACUGAACAUUGAAUUUUGAUGUGUAGGAUAGGUGGGAGCCUUUGAAGCAGUCACGCCAGUGAUUGUGGAGGCGUCCUUGAAAUACCACCCUUUAACGUUUGAUGUUCUAACGAAGAUUACGAAACGUGGUCUCGGACAGUGUCUGGUGGGUAGUUUGACUGGGGCGGUCUCCUCCCAAAGAGUAACGGAGGAGCACGAAGGUUUGCUAAUGACGGUCGGACAUCGUCAGGUUAGUGCAAUGGUAUAAGCAAGCUUAACUGCGAGACAGACAAGUCGAGCAGGUACGAAAGUAGGUCAUAGUGAUCCGGUGGUUCUGAAUGGAAGGGCCAUCGCUCAACGGAUAAAAGGUACUCCGGGGAUAACAGGCUGAUACCGCCCAAGAGUUCAUAUCGACGGCGGUGUUUGGCA